rnacentral:lncRNA from 1 species
UUAACUAUCCUCUCAAAGCACAUCAUGAUGACAGAAGUGAGAGAUACGGGGUGAUAGUCAUUUAGUUCAGUUACCUUUACUUUCUUGGGUACAGGAACAAUGGUGGACAUCUUGAAGCAAGUGGGGACAGCAGACUGGGAUAGAGAGAGAUUGAAUAUGUCCGUAAAACUCCAGUCACUUGUUCUGCGCAUGCUCUGAGGAUGCGGAUAGGGAUGCUGUCUGGGCCUGCAGUCUUGCGAGUGUUAACACGCUUAAAUGUCUUACUCACGUCAGCCACGGAAAACGAGAGUGGGCUGGGAGCGGGCUGCGUCGGUGGCACUGUGUUAUCCUCAAAGCGGGUGAAGAAGGUAUUUAGCUUGUCUGGGAGCAAGACGUCGGUGUCUGCGAUGUGGCUGGUUUUCCCUUUGUAAUCCGUGAUUGUCUGUAGACCCUACCACAUGCGUCUUGUGUCUGAACUGUUGAAUCGCGACUCCACUUUGUCUCUGUACUGACUUUUUGCCUGUUUGAUUGCCUUAUGGAAGGAAUAACUACACUGUUUGUAUUCAACCAUAUCCCCAGUCACCUUGCCAUGGUUAAAUGCGGUGGUCCGUGCUUUCAGAUUUGCUCGAAUGCUGCCAUCGAUCCACGGUUUCUGGUUUGGGUAUGUUUUAAUAGUCACCAUGGGAACAACCUACCCUGUACACUUCCUGAUGAACUCAGUCACAGUGUCCGUGUAUACGUCUAUGUUAUUCUCAGAGGCUACCCGGAACAUAUCCCAGUCUGCAUGAUCAAGACAAUCUUGAAGCAUGGAUUCUGGUUGGUCAGACCAGCAUUGAAUAGAGUUUAGCACGUGUACUUCCUGUUCGAGUUUCUGCCUAUAGAGAAGGGGGGAGCAAAAUGGAGUCAUGAUCUGAUUUGCUGAAGGGAGGGUGGGGAGGGCCUUGUAGGCAUAGGCAUUUCGAAAAGGCGAGUAGCAGUGAUCUAGUGUUUUUCCUAAGCGAGUACUACAGUCAAUGUGUUGAUAGAACUUUGGUAGGGAUUUCCUCAAAUUUGCUUUGUUAAAGAAAGGUGCAUGUUUUAAGAUCUGACAAGUCUCCCAUUUCACUCCCUCUCUGUCUCUUUGUGCUGGUUUGUUGAAAUGAACCUGUAGCUAUAUCAUUGUUUCUUUCACUGAAUAAAAGAGGAAAUAAUAUG